GAAAAUACAGACGGCUAAGGAUUCCACUAAAAUUCACUGUUUCAUUGAGUGUUUUUGUGAUUUCUUAGAUUUCCAAUUCCUGAAAUGAGUUUUGAUCUAUCUAAGGGAUGAAAUGUUUUGAUUUUGGGAGGUUUAAGAGUUUGGUUUGAAGUUCUGGUUGAUUUUGGUUGAUUGUUGCGUAUCAUUUUUUGGAGUUGAGUUAUUUUCGCUAAGAAUCAUUGUUCUAUUGCUUUUCUUGUUGAUUUCUACUGCCUUUGAUCGGCUGUAGCUACUGCUUCUUCACCUUUGUUUCCUCUGUUAUUUUCGGGUAUUCCUCGAUCAUAUGGAUGUCCUUUGAUGUAGCUCGAAAUGAACUUGAAAAUGAGAUAAAUUCUUAUGUUGUGAAUCUGCGUCAUCUUCUCUUCUUUCACGUUAGUAAUUAACUUGUUAUAUUUGGUUUGAGAAAGAUUAUGAUGGAUGUACUUAUUUAAAAGUGAGUUGUAAUUAGAGUUUAGAUCAUGUCGAUUGGUAAAUGUUGUCCUCUUAUAAUUUGGUCAACAUAUUCUGUUAUUAGUAUUAAAGCUUUGCUCUGUAUUAUCAUCUUUGCAUAAGUGUGGUUCUGUAUAUUUGGGAGAUCAGUAGUUUUGUCACGACCCUAACCCCGAUCUUGAUGGCGCCCAACAUACUGCUAGGCAAGCCCGACCAAUUCACCAACCUUAACAAUUUUAUACAAUUCAUGAGUUAAUUAACACAGAUAAUAUACUAAAUCAUAAUAUUGAAAGUCUGCAAUAAAACAAAAACAUGCGGAAUCCCUAGUAAUAAAAAUAACUACACAGCCCGAAGAAUCUGGUGUCACAAGUCUGAGCCUCUAAUACCUGACUAUAACUCUACUACAUAUCGUUCAAAAGAAAUGUGGAAAUAAAGCAAAUAAGGUAGAAGGAAGAUCAGGACUGCGGACGUCAUGCAUCUACCUUGAUGCUCCCGAAUAAACUGCUUGGUAGAGAAAUCCUCAUUCAGCCUCAUAUGUACCUGGAUCUGCACGCAAUGUGCAGGUAGUAAUAUGAGUACUCCGGCCUAGUGAGUAAUAAACAUAAAUAAAGGCUGAGAAUAAAAAGUCUUGAAUAGGCACAAGUAACUCUAUAAAUACAGCAACCAGUACCAGAUAGUAUUCAAUCAACAAACCAAUCAUGGCAAUUAUGGUAAUGCUAUAAUAGACAAGUUAAGUAUUUGACAUGCAAAUAUGAAAUUCAACACAUAGUCUGGUACUCUCUAGUACCCCCUGCGGCGAGCAACACACUCCAUUUAUUUAUUGUCGAUGGCGCUCGAUGGGGGUGUGCAGACUCCGAGAGGUGCCCCUUAUGCCCCAAGCGCAAUAUAAAUCAUCUCGUGGCAUCAACUAGGCCCUCGGCCUCAUAUCAAUAUCAAUAUAAUACUGUUGUGGCACGCAGCCCGAUCUCACGCUCAGUCUAGAAUCACAUAAGCCCCUCGGGCACAAUAAUAUAUAAAUGUUCAGCCUAGACUUUAUUAGAAAUAUUAUUUAAGUUUCAAGUUUGAGAAAAGAUGGCUGAGUUUGAAAAAUAUUAUUAAAUGCUAGGAUUGAGCUCAAUAAUAGGUAAAAAUGGUAAGAAACCAAUAAUAGCAAUCCCUGAAGGAUUCAAUCACUUGCACGAAGCUCAAAUAUAAUAAUCAGCUCAAAUUAUAAUGAUACUAAGUGAAUUUCAGUUAAAUACGCAGUAAAUUCAUCUACCAGGACGGACCAAGUCAUAAUCCCCAACAGUGCUCUACCCCACGCUCGCUAUCCGGCGUGCAAGUCACCUCAUUACUGCGCUACGAUGUGCAAAUACGAGGUUUCAAACCCUUAGGACAUCAUUUACAUCUAUUAUUCACCUCAAGCCAGCCGAAAUCCUAGCUCGCUAUGCUUUUGUCUUUCAAAUCGACCUCCUCGCACGUCGAAUCUGAUCAAAACCACAACGAAUACGUCACAAUAUGCCAAUGGAACAUUACCCAAUCUAAAACAACUGCAAACUAGCAAAAAUCUCAAAAUUAGCAAAACCCGAGCCCCGGGCUCACUUCUCAAAACUCAUAAAUUCUUAUGCCAACGGGUUCUGUAUCUCGCCACAAGUCUAUACAUAUAUGAACACCAAAAUCGGAGUCCAAAUGAACCUCAAAUCCCAAUUUUCGAUACCAAAACUCAACCCCUAGUUCUUCCCCAUUUUUGCUAAGUUUACAUGAAUUUCUAGGUUGAUUCUACAAUUAAAUCACGUAACUCAACUCCAUCUAUAAUUGUAAAAACCCUCUUCAAUCUCCGUCCAAAAGCUCUCAAAAAUCGCCCAAAGCCUAGUGGGAAAUGAGGGAAACGGGCUAAGUUUGAAUUUUUUUAUAACUGGACACACACCUCAUAUGUCGCAUUUACGAUACCUGGUUCGCAAAUGCGAACGUCACAAAUGCGACAAAACCUUCACAAUUGAGAAGGUGAGCCUCUCCUGCCAAGGUCACAAAUGCGACAUCUGGCUCGCAAUUGCGAACCCUGCCAAGGUCGCAAAUGCGACACAAUUCUCACAAAUGAGAACCCUGCCAAGGUCGCAAUUGCGAUCAAACUAUCGCAAAUGCGAACCCUGCCUCAGGCUAGCCCGUUCGCAAAUGCAAGGCCUUACUCGCAAAUGCGAAUCCUUUUCUCACAUUUGCGAGGCUUGCAACAGCUGCUGCAUUUCCAAGUUUAAAACUUCCCGGUUAGGCAUCCAAAACUCACCCGAGGUCCUCGGGACCUCAACCAAAAGUGCCAACCCAUCCUAAAACAUCAUUCAAACUUGCUCCAAUCAUCAAAGCACCACAAACAACACCAAAGCCAUCAAAUUACAUCAGAUUCAAGCCUAAGUUCUUCUAAAACUUUCGAAACAUGCACUUUAUAAAAAAUCCAACCAAAUCACCUCCGAAUAACUUGAAAUUAUUGCACACACAUCCCAAAUCACCUAAUGAAGCUACAACAACUCUCGGAAUUCUAUUCCGACCGUUGAAUCAAAAUCUCACCUAUCAACUGGAAUUCGCCAAAAUACUAACUUUGCCAAUUCAAGCCAAAUUCUACACCGGACCUCCAAAAUCACUUCCGAUCACACUCCUAAGUCACAAAUCAUCCCUCGAAGCUAACCGAAUCGUCGGAAUCCACAUCCGAGCACUCUAACUCAUAGGUCAACAUCCGAUUGACUUUUCAAAAACAAAAAGCCUUCCUUAAAGAGACUAAGUGUCUCAUUUCCUUCCAAAAAUAAAACCAAUUCAACCCGCUCACACAAGACACAGAUAAUGAAGCAGCAAAUGGGGGAAACAGAGCCGUUCUCAUGAGAUGAUGGGUCGGGUCGUCACAUCCUCCCCAACUUAAAUAAACGCUUGUCCUCGAGCGUACCUAGAGUUGCCCUAGAAGACAACCAAUAACUGAAUGACCUUACCAAGCAUAUACUCGGGGGUGAUCCCACGUCACCUAUCUUGUAUAGGUCUGAUAACACAACAUAGCUGAAAUUUCACAAUCCAUCUAGUCCAUAAACCAUAGAACCACAUUGCACUUUCCAAAAUCAAACCCAAGAUCAGAACCUCACAUCUAUACUCAGAUAAGCCCGAGCUAGCUGUAAUAACCCAUACAUGCAACCACAGGUGCAAUCAUAUGAUAUACUACAUAACAAAAACACUCGAACGAUAACUUCUAUCCGCAGCAGCUGCCCACAUACAACCGAAUACCGGUAGAAAAUCUCUUAUCAACUAAGUUCUUAUUCCAACUUUUUCAAAUACUACCAACGAUAAAUAAAACACGCAAUAAACCGUAACCAUUUCUCAGAUCAACCAUUCAUGAAGCCAUUUCCCUUUUGAGUAAUACCACAACAGAUUUCGAGCCAAACCUCGACAUUAUCCUUCUAACAAGCUGAAAUCAAAUCUGAUCGUAUUUAUUAAUGACCCCAAGGAUCACCUCGAAUCCAACACACUACUUUUGUGACGUGACACCUUAAUACAUGGCUAAGCCAUAACUUGUAUAAUUCACGCACCAAUAAGAAACAAUCUGAAUAUAUUCAAAUCAUGGAAAUGACCCCAAACGAACGAGUUGUACCUCAAGCUCAUCAGAACUAUCAUAGCAAAACGCUGUAACCCCCGCUCACAUCAUAGAAAUAGAACACAUGAAUCUCCAAAAGGUCAUAUUCCAUGUAGCCUUGCUACAAUGCGCAAUCAUAUUUAAACACUGCUACACAUGGCACACCUCAAGUCACUAAGCUCAAAUCCGACAACCACACACCAUUUGACGUCUGGAGCCAAAGCACGUCAUCAUACCCCUGGUGAGAGAAAUAGCAUAUACCAUGCAACCUGAUAGUUCAUAACCGAUACUCCAUUCACCGAGCAACACCCAAUACUUUUCCCGCUCAACUUCCACUAUGACUCCCCAAUGGAACAACACAAUAUGUACCUAAAACCACAAAUCAUAAUGCCUCGCAACAUAGAAAAGCAACUCUUAGGUCUCCCCAGAUCACUAACAAACUCAAUAAUGAUUGACUCAAACUAGAACGUGCAUCCACAUUGGCCUGCCAAUGAACUCAUCAUCAAGGAAGCCUGAAGCUGCUCCUUCCACUAGUACAGCUCCUACCAGAGCCAUACGAUAUGGUGCCCGGCAAAAAAUCAAUACCGAAAUCCACAACCUCGCUCGGCGAUAUGCCCGACCAUAAGAAAUGCAUCCGAAAAGUCCCUCAACACCAGAGCUGAAUCAUUGGUAGAAACCUCUGCAGUGAAAUCCAUCACGAAGGCCCAAUUAAGAAAAGCAAAUUCCCCAACCGUCCGCUAGUCUUUGAAAUACAACCCAUUCUACUAGAACAUAAUCCGAUGCACCUCGCAACUCCGAGCAUAAUCAAAAGUCUAAUAUGAUGCCACAGAGUGCCGAUAGGCUACCGAUAAAAAUGCAGUACAAAAGAAAGACAUACUCUGGAAGGAACUGCCUAACUUACGCACUAAUAUGUGCUCUCCUUAGAAAAAUAGGAAACAAGGCACACAAAAACAGCAUAUAGAAAACUACGCUCAAUAUCACACUGUUGCGGCGUGCAACACGAUCCAAAUAUCACACUCAUGGCAGUGUGCCACCCGAUCCACACGUAACACUUACCGAAAGAGGUGUACAUCGAGCUAAAUUGCUCAUUAAUAUAAAAUGCUGAAUUUUGGUCACAAACACGCUAAGUGCAUAUCACCAACCCUGAGGGGACAUAUAGCACUAUAAGCUACCAAACUCAAGCUCAACUGAGGUGCGAUAUACAAUCUGAAUCUCAAGAGCCAUUUCGCUCAUAAAAAUCAUUUCUACUCAGAUCCUCAACACAUAAGCAUUUUCUCCAAACUUCUCACAACUCACACAGUGCAGUGUAUCACUGCAUAAAAUAUCUGACAACGAAAUAACACCGUGACUCCUCCUCCAUAAGCAGCGCAUCAGUGAAAUGAACCUGUUUGGCCUGACAUAGAGACCAUAUUCACAUUUGAAUUCAUCCACCGACCUCAAGCCGAUUUUGAUCGCACUGUACUAGGUUAAUUACCUUUCAAAGGUCCCUAACAACUCAUCAUCCGCUCGCAACACAUAAGAACGUCCAUCAUAGUCGGAGAAAUCAUCUGUAGUCCAUAACUCAGUAGACUGAGUGCCCUCCGGGCAUAUUUUCUCAAUUCAACGAUAUUACCACAACCUUCAUACUUGGUUGAAGUCUUCAAUCAAUCAACUGACUAAUUGCCAUACUUACACAAUCUUCCGGUGGGACACCCUCCCACAACCUACCAUUACGAAUAACUGGGUCGUGCCUCUAAACCACCGACUGCACUAACGGUGAAGCCGAUCAAGAAAUAUUAACCAGGGUGCAAAGCCUUUUCACAAAACACUAUUGCCAGGUGAUGCUGAAGACAAUAGCGAUUUACCUUAAACGUCGAGACUUCUUCCCUCCUUAUCCGAGCUCGUGACAUCCUUGUCCAUACCGAGUUGUUACCUCUAUCUUCACUUCAAAUUCCAUACCACUCAUUGCCCCCAAUAUGCCAACAUACAAUAGAACAUGCUCUUCAUCACAGCUUCGGAACCAUCAUUAGAUUAACACUUCAUCAUAUAAAACCUUCCACUUAACUCACUUCAGGAGAACCAUAGCAACACACAUGUGAAUUCUCAUAACCAUGGAAUAUGCAAAUCUCUAAGCAGUGGUCCAACCCAUCAUGACCCUUCCGGGAUCCGCCUACACGUAACAAGCCCAUACAAUGGAAUACUCUUGAGUAACAUCAAUAACGACGGACGACAGGCCUCACUUGUACCGCCACAAAUCACAUGCGUAACUUGCAUGCAUAAGGAAUUGAUAUCUACCACUAAUAUGCCAAAGAUAUAUGGCUAACCAAUUCAUCUUCUUUUGAUUUACCCUGAUUGCCCUAGGAAUAAUAGUAACUCCAUUUAACAUAUAACACCAUCCAUCCGCACUCAUCUCGAGUGACUUUGAUCACGAGACCAUGCUGUCUCACAUCCCACGAACCAUUUCAUACCUUCCAACUGCUACCUCGCAAGUCGAACCAUCAUAGAACAUUUUAAGAAUUCCGAACCAUUACCUGCGCCUUCCUGAUAGUGAUACAUAGAAGCCCAUAAUUGAUAUAGAAAAAUUACACAUCUUGACCUCUCCCAAUAAAGACUCAUUUUUAAUCACAUAUACAAAUUCAAGAUACCCAAUUGUCACAUGUAAAAUCUUGAACACAUUAGUACCAUUCUCGAGAGACAUUUACUCUAUUUAACUGCAUUUAGCCUGAUCCAAUGAAUAGAACCACACGUGCCUUGUUAGCACUAUGACACUGCAAGAUAAGACCUCUUCAAAAUACAAACAAAAUUCUUCCCGCUCCAUGCACCGAGCAUUCUUCACCAACCAUUGCUUAAGACAUCCUCUGAUUCUCACACAUCUACAAAGCACCAUAUCACCUUUGUCAAAAUUUUCCUUCACUCAAGCCAUCCUUAGAUCAAUUUCUGCAACCAAAACUACUUCCCCAGCAUGUCUUAAAUCGUAACCAAUACAGAACAUAACCUUGCAAUUAGCUAAUCAAUAACAAGCUCCCUCACUUGGCUGGAAGCCCUAGAUCAAAACGCAUAAUAACUCAUAAAGCAUAUACUCUAUUGGUGCCUUAAUACCAUAGUGAGAUUAAACUCACUCCUUUAUAAGCUAUUGGAAACACAAAUCAUCUACAAUUGUGUUGUUUUUAAACUUUUCUGCAAAUCUUGCAUUCACUCCCACAACAGUUAAGCCCACUCCCUAGGCGAUCCAAUCUAGAUUUCAACACAUUUUCUUCACUUGUAAAUGAGAUCUCCUAACAUACACAUAAGGAUCACACCACUUUAGAACAUUCCGCAGGAGACGACCCACAUGUUUCGCCUUAAUAUAACAUACUUGUAUACCUUCAGCCGUCAUACACAUUACACAAACACUUAGUCUUCCUGAGUCUGAACUCAUACCGCAUCAUGAAAUAUACUCCACUCUGAACUGGAAACAUGAAAAGAUUCUUCAUGCGUCCAUAACUCGGAUCAACACUCCAAAGUCACAAAUCAUCGAACGAAGCUAUCCAAAUCACAAAACUCCGAUCCGAGCUCAUAGACAAAUAAGUCUGUUCUUGGUCAAACCUUUCAAGUACUCCACUCUCAACUAGAGAUAUGAAAAAAUUCUUCACAUGCCCAUAACUCGGGGCUAUACCUCGAAUCACAAUGGAAUUCAAACACCUAAUGGUUCUUCUAUCAUCCAGCAGAUCUCCCUCGUCACUUCUAAGUCACAUAUAUACACCUCGCAGUACCAAUAUACUCAUCACGUGGCUAUCCAGCCGUCACUUCCACUAAUAGAGACAAUACCGAAUGUAUAAGUUCAAAAUACUCGCUCACACAAUCAGCACCUCGGUGCUCAAGCCAUAGGUAAGGAUCUGAUCUCAAGUCCUCCAGACUGGCCCAACGUCAACUCACAGAGAUCACAUCUCGCCCCUCGAUCGCGCAAUAACAAGCCAUUAAGGAACAUUUGAUACUGAGCGCUCAUGCACAUGUCACACCUCCUUUUGGCUACUACAAUCCAGCGAAGGGAGUAGAUAAGUGAUUCUUUCCAAUUAAAGGACAACCGAAACGAGAUUUAUUAUUAAGAUUUAGAGACGCCACUGGGGAGAUUAUGGUGUCCCAAGUUACUGGUUUAAUCCCGAAUCGAGAAAGAGAAUGACUAUGUUUAAAAGUCUGCGAACCAGAAAUCCGAGUAAGGAAUUCUAUUAACCCGGAGAAGGUGUUAGGCAUUCCCGGGUUCCGUGGUUCUAGCACAGUCGUUCAGCUAUUGUACUUGGCUUCAUUAUUUGAUUUUAAAAUAUUUCAAUGCCUACGUGCAUAUUGAAUCUUUUGUAGCUCUUAAUAUUAUUUAUUAAAGAAAAUUGCAACGUCGUUAAAACACGUGUUGAACCACCUCACAUAAAUGCACAUGUGGCUCUUGACGUAUUUUAACAUCGUUGGGAUUUGAUUUGGGUCACAUAAAUGCAUACCCGAGUUUAGGAAGGUAAAUGCACCUGUGGCCCUUGACGUAUUUUAACAUCGUUGGGAUUUGGAUUUGGGUCACAUAAAUGCACAACCGAGUUUAGGGAGGUAAUUUCUGAAAUCGCGCCUAACACAACUAUGCACUUUCAAGUUUGCGAGGGCCAUGGAGAUUCAACUUAAUGGCAUCUCUCGAUUUCUAAGGAUUAAAUUAACUAAGCGAGGACCAUGCAUUUUAAGAUUUUAUUUGGCACGACAUGCCUCAAUUCUAAUUUUAAAGGGAAUUCGAGCUAAACUCCCGAGGGCCAUAAAUAUAUCUUACUUAGUACGGCACGUCCCAAAUCUAUUCAACUAAUUUUAAUAGCUAUUGAUAUUCAUAUUUAAAGCUAAUUCAAAAUUUAGUACCACAACUACGUCACGAGAAUCGUAUCCGUAGCCGUGAUAAACUAAUUAUAUGCCUGAAGCAAACUACGAAGAGUCAUUACUACAACUAAAGAAGAAUCAUGUCAAACUUGAUAUAAGUGAACAAUUACUGCAAGUCCAACCCUGAAUAAAGUAAAAUCAUCGUAAGGCAAAGCUAUGGUUUGUCAUUUUUAUUAGAUAAUAUGCAAAUAUUUUGCUAAAAGAAGUAUUAUGACUGCAAAAACUAGUUAUAAACUUCACCCAAAGUCAAAGAGCACAUGACAUCGUAGAAAGCCUUUUCAAUUAUAUAAAAAACAAAACAUUUUAGUAUUUGUUAGCAGAAUCUUGUUAGUUAAGCUAAUGGAUUCUUCACGCCAAAUAUAGAACAUGGCUGACAUUACAAUAUACAGCAGAAUCUAUGCCUCUCAAUUCCCAUCUGUCAUUUUGUUUUGCAUACAUUGCAAGUACUUGUCGUAGACGAGUCAGAGAGGAUUACAAGAUCCAUUAGAACAAGAUUAAUAUCAGCAAACAUGCUUUGCAAAUUGUAUAAGAAGCCAGAGAUGAAUCGAUUCAGCCCAGAGACUAAACUGAAAUAUAAAACUAUCAAUUUUUCAAUUACUCAUGCUAAAGAACACCUUAACAGUAAAGUAAAAUGAAGAAGACAGAGGAAUACCUGACCUUUCCAAACAGGAUAAGAGAAUGCAAAUAGAAAAUGCACCAUCAAAGGCGGAGCUCUAUAUUUCAAAAAGCUUGACUUACCACACGACUGGAAUCCGAACCUUAACCGAAAACCAGCAACAACCUCAAAAGACCCUCGGCGAUCUCGAAACUUGCCGGAGAACUCAAACUAAACCCGAAUAACAAAAUCGACAAACUCCAUGACAUGGGAUAGCGAUUGAAGUUGAAGUUUGGUUGGUUCGUUGUGUUGAAAGAACUUUCUUGGUUGUGAAGUGAAGAAGAAGAAACGGAGACGAGGAGGGGUGUUGUGUUCUCAAAUUAGAAAUGGUUGUGUGCCUUAAGUCUUAGGAUCUGUCAUUUUGUUACAAAAAAAGAAAGGUCUCAUGUGUGAUUUCGGACGACUUCAUGAAGAAGCAGCAGCAGCUUCCCGUUCUCUCGCGUAUGUGUGGCUGUGUGUUAAGUGUUUUCCAACGAGGGGGAGAUGAUUGAUGGCUGCUUUGUGUCGGUGUGG
rnacentral:lncRNA from 1 species